GACGAACGCUGGCGGCGUGCCUAAUACAUGCAAGUCGAGCGAGCAAUUUUAGCAGAAUACCUUCGGGUAGGAAGCUAAGAGCGCGAGCGGCGGAUGGGUGAGUAACACGUGGGCAACCUACCCUUUAGCUGGGGAUACCACUUGGAAACAGGUGCUAAUACCGAAUAAGAAGCAAGAGCGCAUGCUCAAGCUAUGAAAGGCGGCUUUAAGCUGUCACUAAAGGAUGGGCCCGCGGUGCAUUAGCUAGUUGGUAAGGUAACGGCUUACCAAGGCGAUGAUGCAUAGCCGAGUUGAGAGACUGAACGGCCACAUUGGGACUGAGACACGGCCCAAACUCCUACGGGAGGCAGCAGUAGGGAAUCUUCCACAAUGGACGCAAGUCUGAUGGAGCAACGCCGCGUGAGUGAAGAAGGUUUUCGGAUCGUAAAGCUCUGUUGUUGGUGAAGAAGGAUAAGGAUAGUUACUGAUUCAUAUUUGACGGUAAUCAACCAGAAAGUCACGGCUAACUACGUGCCAGCCGCCGCCGUAA
rnacentral:rRNA from 1 species